UAUCGCGACUGGUGUGUGAUCUAUGUUCGCUGUUCGCGCCAUUUUGAAUUAGCCCAAUAAUAACUCCUCAAGCCUUCACUUUUAAAUACUAUAGUCUUAUUUUUUUACUCAAAUUAUGACCAUGGAGUCUGAGGCUGGCUAUUUAUCNGAACUUUUAGCCGAGAAAGAUAGUUUAGACCCGUCUUUUGUUCACUGUAUGAGGCUUUUAACGCGAGAAAUAAACAGAAUGCAGGGUGGGGGGUCACCUCCAGUUGUUUCUCCUCGAAGCAAAGAAGACGAAAAUAUUAAUGGUACACCAUCAAAUGAAGGAAGUGAGGGUAAUCUACAAGAUGCAGUCAUUCCGAGACUGCAUCCAGAGCCAAGAGAACUCAGAGAACCCAGAGAACCUAGAGAACCUAGACAUUAUCGAAGAGCACACCCACCAGAAGAAAAUAAACUCUACCAGCCAGUAAAAUUAUCUGAGAAAGUCUUUAUCCCCACUAAAGAACAUCCUAAGUUUAACUUUGUCGGUAAGCUACUGGGUCCACGAGGGAACACAUUCAAAAGGCUACAAAACAGUACAGGAACAAAGAUGUCUAUUUUAGGGAAAGGUUCAAUGAGAGAUAAAGAAAAGGAAGAAGAGCUAAAGGCAACAGGAGAUGCAAAGUAUAAUCAUCUUUCUGAAGAUUUGCAUGUUCUUAUCGAAGUAGAAGCUCCACCAGGCCAAGCACAUGCUCGUUUGGGUAUCGCAAUAGAAGAAAUUAAAAAAUUCCUUAUUCCUGAAACAAAUGAUGAAAUUCACCAGGAACAAAUGCGAGAGAUGGCCAUACUUAAUUCCAUGGAUGACCCUCCCCCAACCAGUCAAGCUGGAACCCAACCAGCACCUGCACCCACAGCUGGUAGAGGACGUGCCCGUCCAAGAGUGGCGCAAGCUCCAAUAACUCAUCAAGUCCCAGCAAGAGGAAUUAUAACAAGACAGGGCCAUCCUUUGGCAUUACGAAGGGUACAGCAGGGACCUAUGUCAGUAACAGUCAGAUCAGCAGCUGGUUUGCCGUCAUCACCAACUAUGGCACAUCCUGCUCCCAGAGGACAGGCACAACCUGGGGUGGAUCCCUAUGGCGAAACCUAUGAUCCUGCUUAUGGAUAUGAAGCAGCAUAUACCGAACCUGAGGAAGUCACAUAUUAUGAUUAUGGUAGAGGGGUAGCUCCNGCAGAAAUCUAUGAGACCGCAUAUCCAGCAUUUAAGCGAAGAAAAGCUACUUGAGAAUUACAUCUGGCUGGUAAAGUAGAAUGGGGAAUCCAGGUCCUUUUGUUAUAAGGUAUUAAACCGUUGCUGAAAAUUCCUGGCCCCUUGGUUCUAAUCAUUUUAGAUUGAUUAAUUUUAUUUAUUUAUAAUACAUUUUUGACAACAUCUGGAAGGCUGUCAAGCUCACAGAAACAUGGAGAGAGCAUAACCUGUUCAAAAAUUAUUACUCAAAUUGUAGAGUGCUUUUAGUCUCACUGUUGAAUAGGUGACGUCAACUAAAUUAGAUAAGU
rnacentral:misc_RNA from 1 species